rnacentral:lncRNA from 1 species
UUUUUUUUUUUUUUUUUUUUUUUUAAAGUAGACCCUAUGGCACCUGGGUGGUUCAGUCAAGUAAGAGCCUCAGUCAGCAUCUGCCUUCAGCUUAGGUUGUGAUCCUAAGCACCUGGGAUGGAGCCUCCCCUUACCCCCUACUGUUGCAUCAGACUCUCAGCUCAAUGGGGAGCUGGCUUCUCCCUCUGUCUGCCCCUCCCACCAACUUGUGUUCUCUCUCUCUCUCUCUCUCUCUCUCUCAAAUAAAUAAGUAAAAUCUUUAAAAAAUAAUAAAAUAAAAUAAAGUAGGCUCCAAGCCUACUCACGUUCUUGAACUCAUGACACUGAGAUCAAGACCUGAGCUGAAAUCAAGAGUUGAAAACCUGGGUGGCUCACUGGCUGAGUGUCUGCCUUCAGCUCAGGACCUGGUCACUUAGGGCCUGAUUCUGGGAUCGAGUUCCCCAUCAGGCUCCCCAUGGGUAGCCUGCUUCUCCCUCUACCUAUGUCUCUACCUCUCUGUGUCUCUCAUGAAUAAAUAAACAAAAUAUUAAAAAAAAAAAAAAAAAAAGGUUAGAUGCUUAACCAACUGAGCCACUCAUGUACUCCCAGUAGAGGUUCAUCUAAUUGGGGGGUGAGGGGAAUGUGGGUAGGUUCUAGUCAGUAGGUUAUAUCAAAAUAUAGUAAAUAUUAUCUUUGACAUGAACCAUACUGAGACAGAUAAAUGGUCUCUCAACAAGUCCAACACAGACAGUUUGACUGCCAGCACUAAAGUAGAUGUCAUUCACGUAAUGGAGUUCCAGAUACUCAUAGCUGGCCUGCAUUUAGGAACUAUGAUAUACAAAAAAAUAUUUAUAUUAAGACAUAAGAGCCACACCAUGAGAGCUACCCAGGAACAGAGAGUAUCUGACUGCUGUAUCCUGCCUAUAAAUAACUUCACUGAAUGAAUGGUGGUUACUGAAAUUGUUUUUCCUUUCCCAGUUCCAAUUUUUCCAACGUAAAUAAUUGAAUUUCAGUGGGCUAAAAUCACAAAAGAUGAAACAGCACUUUAUGUACAUCCUUUCUCCCUAAGUAAAUUAUGCCUCCUUGAGGAUAUUAUGGGCUAUGCAUUUCAUUUCUGAGCACUUUAAAUUGUUUCUAGUUACUAAGAAAUAGAUGUCAGCCCGAUUCUGGUUCUCAAUUCAGUGACCAAUUUACUUAACUAGUCACUACUGCCUAAUAUGUGACUAUGAGCACAUCACAAUAGUAAGAAAUAUGAAAAAAUAAGUGAUUUUUACUCGUUUCCAUGGGUAACUACAGGAUUACUUUCAGGUCUCUUGUGAAGUCCUGACAUUAACAAAUACAGAAAGCAGCAUGCAUUUUUACCCAGGUAGAUGUAAUUAAUUUAGUUGGUACCUCUGGACUUAAGCUGAAACAUAUAAAAUGCUACCUACUAAGAAUAAAAUAUUUGCAAUAAACUGCAAAAAAAUUUGACCUAUUUCACAAAAAGUGUCUCGCAUUAAAGUGAGAAAGGUCAAAUUCAAGAUACUAUGUCAACAGAAUACUCCAUGAAAAGCAACAACCCAAAAACCCCAAAUACUGGAAAGUUCCUAUUCUGUCUAGGACCCUGGCAUACCUUAUGCCUACCGUCCCAUUUCACACAUGGUACAAAAGCACUUACAAAUUCUUUAAACCAAUUCUUGUUUGAAUUCUGACAGUACACCUAUGAAUAGUCUUUCUGGAAAGGGAAGGGAAAGAAAGCUUUCACCUAACUGGCCAAAGUAUUGCAUGUUCUCUUCCUGGACCGGCUGUUUACACAGCCCUUCCCUAACCCUUCAAAUUCCUACUUCAAAUCCCCAAGGUAUGAUUAUAGAUAAGAAUUAUUUUCUCAAUAAGCUGCUGAAAAUAUUAAUGACAAUGCAUAAGAAGUUAAUGCUAAGGUACUUAGGCCACAAUGGAGAAAAUCUUGAGACUUUACUGAGGACUAAAUUGUGUCACAGUGCUCCAUUUCUCUUAACUUCAUUUGAAAGCCUUCUUUAAAACUGCCUCCUCUUUUUGAUGUUGUUACUAUCCACCCCCUAAAGACACACUUCCUUUUGCUCUACAGUAACCCCUCUUUUAAAGAGAUUUGACCCACAACUCUACCUGUUACUGUUACCUGGCCAUACCCUAUUUCUUCCAGUAUGCUACACUAACCCAUAAAAGAAGAAACACAUCAUCCUGUGACUUAUAGGCUGCUCCCCAAUAUUCUUCAGAUGCUCAAAAUGGGCUUUGCUCUUUCAUAUGUUGCCACAAUAGUUCAUGUCAACAGUAAUCCUUUCCCCAAGGAAGUCCAAAAGUAUGUUUCAAUAACCAUGUCAUCAUGGAAACUAGAAAAAGUAUGGAUCCUCUCUAAACUCAGACACUGGAUAGCCCUCUAUUUCUACUCAUUUCCACCUUUAAUUUAUCUCAAAACACAUCAUCAUACCACAUCAUCAUACAAGAAAUAAUUGUGUGGGGGAUCCCUGGAUGGCUCAGCAGUUGAGCGCCUGCCUUCAGCUCAGGGCAUGACCCUGCAGCCCCAGAACUGAGUCCCACAUUGGGCUCUUUGUGUGGAGCCUGCUUCUCCUUCUGCCUGUGUCUCUGCCUCUCUCUCUCUCUCUCUCCUCUGUCACUUAUGAAUAAAUAAAUAAAAAAAAUUUUUUUAAAAAAAGAAAGAAUUAUGUGGACGUCUUAAAGGUUUUCUUCUAGCACAUCUCUUGCAAGUAAAUGGUCAUCACAACAUUGUAAAUAAGGAAAAUGAAAUGAAUUUCAUUAUCUUAGUGGAGUAAUAAUGAAGUUAGGAAAAGUCUAACUCCUGAAAAUGAAGACCUUAUACAUUUGUGUAUGACUUUUUUUUUUUUUAAUCUUUCCUUUUCAUACUUUUAUUAAGUAGGCUCCACGCCCAGCAUAGGGCUUGUUCUCAUGAGCCUGAGAUCAAGACCUGAACUGAGAUCAAGAGUCAGAUGCUUAGGGAUCCCUGGGUGGCGCAGUGGUUUAGCGCCUGCCUUUGGCCCAGGGUGCGAUUCUGGAGUCCCGGGAUUGAGUCCCACGUCGGGCUCCCUGCAUGGAGCCUGCUUCUCCCUCUGCCUCUCUCUCUCUCUCUCUCUCUCUCUCUCUCUCUCUGUGGCUAUCAUGAAUAAAUAAAUAAAUAAAAACAAUAAUAAACAAAAAAAAAAAGAGUCAGAUGCUUAGCUGACUGAGCCACCCACGUGCCUCAUAUUAUUUUAUUUUAUUUAAAAUAAAAUCGAGCCCUACGGGAGACUGGAUCCCGUGGCUGCAGGAUCAGGACCUGGGCUGAAGGCGGUGCUAAACCGCUGAGCUCCCCGGGCUGCCCCACCCCCAUAUAUUUUAAAUGGUAUUUCUAUUAUUAGUGAAAUUCAGUACUAAUGUAAUUAUAAAUAGCGGCUAUACAUUUUCUUUUUGUCUUUAUGGAUAUUUCUAUUAUUGGCAGUUUAGCCAGUCUAUCCUCUUUAUUCAUCCAAAGUAACUAAAAGAAGUAAAAGUGUUAAUUGGGUCAGUCAUCAAAUUCCCUUUGAAAGCUAGUUCUUCAUCAAUAAACUGAGAAAAGGGAAACACAGGUGUCCUCUUGCUCAAUGUUCUUAGUAGGUAUGACCAUGCAUUAUGUUUCAAAACAGAAACAAAAACAAAAAACAUUUACAA